AUCCUCGAUUUGUUGUGGACAGAUGAAGUGGAUGUGGCUGUCAAAGCCGCCUGCGGUCAGGAUCCUGCCUUCGCCCGCGAUGGCCUCGGUGCCAGGCCCGACAAUGAUGUCGACGCCGGGUUGCGUGUCGGGGUUGCCUGCCUUGCCGAUUUUGGCGAUGCGCCCGUCGCGCAGGCCAACGUCGGCCUUGUAGAUGCCGGAAUGGUCCACAAUCAGCGCGUUGGUGAUAACGGUGUCCACGGCGCCUUCGGCACGGGUGGUUUGGGCUUGGCCCAUCCCGUCGCGGAU
rnacentral:sRNA from 1 species